ACAUCUUCUCGGCCUUCGUGGCUAAGAUCAAGUGUAGUAUCUGUUCUUAUCAGCUUAAUCUCUGGUAGUGCGGCCUCCCAUGUGCCUCACAUCUCAAGAUUAGACUUAUUUCUUGUGGUGCGCCCCUGGUACCAUGCCCUCCAGCUACGCUGUGGCAGUCCAGGGAGCAGCGAUCGGCUUCACACUUGCACACGUCUGUGAAGUUCUUCAAACGGUCCACCCUUC
rnacentral:snRNA from 1 species